rnacentral:rRNA from 1 species
CUACGGGUGGCAGCAGUAAGGAAUAUUGCGCAAUGGAGGCAACUCUGACGCAGCCAUGCCGCGUGCAGGAAGAAGGCCUUAUGGGUCGUAAACUGCUUUUAUUUAGGAAUAAACCCCCGAACGUGUUCGGGGCUGAAGGUACUAAACGAAUAAGCACCGGCUAACUCCGUGCCAGCAGCCGCGGUGAAUACGGAGGGUGCAAGCGUUAUCCGGAUUUAUUGGGUUUAACGGGUGCGCAGGCGGGCUAUUAAGUCAGUGGUGAAAUCCCGGGGCUCAACUCCGGAACUGCCAUUGAUACUGAUAGUCUUGAGUUUGGUUGAAGUGGGCGGAAUGUAGCAUGUAGCGGUGAAAUGCAUAGAUAUGCUACAGAACACCAAUCGCGAAGGCAGCUCACUAAGCCAAAACUGACGCUCAUGCACGAAAGCGUGGGGAUCAAACAGGAUUAGAUACCCCUGUAGUC